rnacentral:rRNA from 1 species
AUGAAAGGAGGCAAGGCGAUGGGCCCUGAUUGUAUCCCCAUUGAGGUGUGGAAAGGUCUCGGGGACAUAGCGAUAGAAUGGCUAACCAAGCUUUUCAACCUCAUUUUUCGGGCAAACAAGAUGCCAGAAGAAUGGAGACGGAGUAUAUUAGUACCAAUCUUCAAGAACAAGGGGGAUGUUCAGAGUUGUACUAAUUACCGUGGAAUUAAGCUGAUGAGCCACACAAUGAAGCUAUGGGAGAGAGUCAUUGAGCACCGCUUAAGAAGAAUGACAAGCGUGACCAAAAAUCAGUUUGGUUUCAUGCCUGGGAGGUCGACCAUGGAAGCCAUUUUCUUGGUACGACAACUUAUGGAGAGAUAUAGGGAGCAAAAGAAGGACUUGCAUAUGGUGGUCAUUGACUUGGAGAAGGCCUAUGAUAAGAUACCGCGGAAUGUCAUGUGGUGGUCCUUGGAGAAACACAAAGUCCCAGCAAAGUACAUUACCCUCAUCAAGGACAUGUACGAUAAUGUUGUGACAAGUGUUCGAACAAGUGAUGUCGACACCGAUGACUUCCCGAUUAAGAUAGGACUGCAUCAUGGGUCAGCUUUGAGCCCUUAUCUUUUUGCAUUGGUGAUGGAUGAGGUCACAAGGGAUAUACAAGGAGAUAUCCCAUGGUGUAUGCUCUUUGCGGAUGAUGUGGUGCUAGUUGACGAUAGUCCGACGGGGGUAAAUAGGAAGUUAGAGUUAUGGAGACAAACCUUGGAAUUGAAAGGGUUUAGGCUUAGUAGAACUAAAAUUGAGUACAUGAUGUGCGGUUUCAGUACUACUAGGUGUGAGGAGGAGGAGGUUAGCCUUGAUGGCCAGGUGGUACCUCGGAAGGACACCUUUCGGUAUUUGGGGUCUAUGUUGCAGGAGGAUGGGGGUAUUGAUGAAGAUGUGAACCAUCGAAUCAAAGCCGGAUGGAUGAAGUGGCGCCAAGCUUCUGGCAUUCUCUGUGACAAGAGAGUGCCACAAAAGCUAAAAGGCAAGUUCUACAGGACGGCGGUUCGACCCGCAAUGUUGUAUGGCGCAGAGUGUUGGCCGACUAAAAGGCGACAUGUUCAACAGUUAGGUGUGGCGGAGGUGCGUAUGUUGAGAUGGAUGUGUGGCCACACGAGGAAGGAUUGA